UGAAUUCCAAGGUGACCUUGGUGUAUGU
rnacentral:sRNA from 1 species